rnacentral:lncRNA from 1 species
AAGGGUAGUUCUAUGGCGUGAUGGAUUCAGACUGAUGCCAACCAUAGACAUGUCUACCGGAUCCCAAUCAAAGUUGCGCCUCUGUCGCCAAGGUAGGAGCAGAAGGAUGAGGUGGUUCCCGUAGUAUAUCUGUCCAGAUAUUUAAGUCUGUAUUGUUGACCUGAACGCAUAUGUGUGUUUUUUAGUGGAACAGAUGCAUACUUACUGUAAAUGCAGGAGGUCGUUCCCAACUUCCCAUCGUAUAUUUGUAUAGAUCUUUGCUGUACGGGCCUAAUAUGUACUGUAAAUGCACCUUAACUACUUUUAAAUUUUUUUACUGAUUGUUAUGUGGCUCGUGGUCAUGUACAAAGUCUAACAUGUAUGGAUGUGCAGAUUGAAAAGUUCAUCAGAAUAUUGCACGGGAGGUUCUAUCAUCCACCAUCCAGAUUUUUUGUACGUUUGUUUGUUCAAAUUUUCUUUCUUUUAAGUUUAUAUACAGCGAUUUAAUUUGUAGUUCAACUUAUUUUGCAGAGAGUUUGGUUGGUCUGCUUGGAUAGGGGUUUAGGAGGUGCUUUCAGGUAGAGCUAAAGACUUUGUAAUGUGCAAUUUAGCACCUUCAUAGUAGUAUUUGUAAGAUUUUUUAUGAUAAAAAAUAAUGUAUUUUCGAAAGAUUUAUGACUGAAGUUUUCCUUUCAUUUUGGUUACACAUUCUUU